GAUGAACGCUAGCGGCAGGCCUAAUACAUGCGAGUCGAGGGAGAAUGUUGGAUUCGUCUGACAUGAAACCGGCGCACGGGUGCGUAACACGUAUGCAACCUACCUUUAACUGGGGUAUAGCUCAGAGAAAUCUGAAUUAAUCCCCCAUAAGACUACGACAUGGCAUCAUGAUGUAGUUAAAGCUCCGGCGGUUAAGGAUGGGCAUGCGGUACAUUAGCUAGUUGGUGAGGUAAUGGCUCACCAAGGCUACGAUGUAUAGGGGGUCUGAGAGGAUGAUCCCCCACACUGGUACUGAGACACGAACCAGACUCCUACGGGAGGCAGCAGUAGGGAAUAUUGGUCAAUGGACGCAAGCCUGAUCCAGCCAUUCCGCGUGCAGGAUGAAGGCCCUCGGGUUGUAAACUGCUUUUGUACAGAACGAAAAGGUUUCUACUAAUACUAGGAGCUCAUGACGGUACUGUAAGAAUAAGCACCGGCUAACUACGUGCCAGCCGCCGCGGUAA
rnacentral:rRNA from 1 species